GGAGGGGUCGCCUAGUUGGCUUAGGGCGGCGGAUUGCUAAUCCGUUAUACGGUAUAAUGCCGUAUCGAGGGUUCGAAUCCCUCCCCCUCCGCCA
rnacentral:tRNA from 1 species